GGGGAUUUAGCUCAGCGGUAGAGCGCUUGCCUAGGAAGCCUAAGGCCCUGGGUUCGGUCCCCAGCUCCG
rnacentral:tRNA from 1 species